AUGCACGCACCCUUGAUUGCACAGGUGCACAAUCAUGCAUUGGUUGACAAAUCAUCUUUGAUUAAGUACCUGCGAUCACAUGAAGGGAUCCCCACGGAAGAAAGGGCCUUCCUUACACAUCUCCACAAUUGCAAUAUACCUAUAGGUCGAAUGAUGCACAUCAUGUCAGAUUACUAUGGUACAGAGCUGAUUGUCCCUUAUGGUACUAAGCAUAUUUCAAACCUAAAGUCGGAGUUGAACAAGAAUGCGACAAAGGAAGGUGAUGUGAUUGAGACACUUGCCUACUUUAAAGAUCAGCAAAAUGAAGAUCCAGAUUUCUUUUACAAGAUUAAGUAUGAUGAGGAGGACAGGGCUGAGAAUGUUUUCUGGGUUGACGGUGCAGCAAGGAGGGCUUAUGUAGAGGCAUACCACGACUACAUCUCAUUUGACACUGAUACGUCUCCAAUGUAUCUAUAA
rnacentral:rRNA from 1 species